UGGGGAAUAUUGCACAAUGGGCGAAAGCCUGAUGCAGCAACGCCGCGUGAGUGAUGAAGGUCUUCGGAUUGUAAAGCUCUGUCUUUUGGGACGAUAAUGACGGUACCAAAGGAGGAAGCCACGGCUAACUACGUGCCAGCAGCCGCGGUAAUACGUAGGUGGCGAGCGUUGUCCGGAUUUACUGGGCGUAAAGGGUGCGUAGGCGGAUGUUUAAGUGAGAUGUGAAAUACCCGGGCUUAACUUGGGUGCUGCAUUUCAAACUGGAUAUCUAGAGUGCAGGAGAGGAGA
rnacentral:rRNA from 1 species